rnacentral:rRNA from 1 species
ACGGAAGGCAGCAGUGGGGAAUAUUGCACAAUGGGGGAAACCCUGAUGCAGCGACGCCGCGUGAGUGAAGAAGUAUUUCGGUAUGUAAAGCUCUAUCAGCAAGGAAGAAAAUGACGGUACUUGACUAAGAAGCCCCGGCUAACUACGUGCCAGCAGCCGCGGUAAUACGUAGGGGGCAAGCGUUAUCCGGAUUUACUGGGUGUAAAGGGAGCGUAGACGGUGAGGCAAGUCUGAAGUGAAAUGCGGGGGCUCAACCCCUGAACUGCAUUUGGAACUGUUAAGCUAGAGUAUCGGAGGGGUAAGUGGAAUUCCUAGUGUAGCGGUGAAAUGCGUAGAUAUUAGGAGGAACACCAGUGGCGAAGGCGGCUUACUGGACGAUAACUGACGUUGAGGCUCGAAAGCGUGGGGAGCAAACAGGAUUAGAUACCCUGGUA